rnacentral:lncRNA from 1 species
CGGCGGCGCCCGCCCGCGCCUCCAUCCGGGUCCUGGCGCGGUGCUCUCCCGGCAGCGACGGGCGCGAGGGCCGGGGCAUUCCCACGGCCGCGACGGCCCUCUCCGCGAGCGCGAGAAACAACGUCUCACUAUGUUGCCCAGGCUGGUCUCCAACUCCUGAGCUCAAGUGAUCCUUCUUCCUCAGCCUCCCAAAGUGCUAAGAUUACAGGUGUGAGCCACCGGGUUCCUGGCCGAAUCAGGUGAUUUCUUAGGCCCUUUCUAAAUACAAGGUUUAAGUGUUUUGAGGCAGCCGACAGCUAUACCUUUAAGUCUCUUGCUUCUCUAAGAAUAAGACAUUUUGGAUCAUUUGUUCUACCAUAACGUAAUGAAUACAAGUUGGGAGCAUUUUGCUCUUCUGUUAAGCACAGUUGGCCUUCCUGUCCAAGGAUUUUUGCAUCCUUGAAUUCAACUAACCUCAAAUGGAAAAUAUUUGGGGGAAAAAAAGUAUGUACAACAAAAAUAAUAUGAUCAAAAAUAAUACAGUAUAACGACUAUUUACAUAACUUUUACAUUGUAUUAGGUAUUGUAAGUAAUCUAUGUAGGAGGAUGUGUGUAGGUUACAUGCAAAUAUGACACCACAUUUUAUAAGGGACUUGAGCAUCUGAGGAUUUUCCUCUGGGAGAAGGAGGUAUCCUGGAGGCAAUCCCCUGAGGAUACUUUUCUACUUUGUGUGAAUUUUUCAUUAACAGGAAGUUACAGUACUUUUCUGGUCACCUGAGAAACCCACCCCAUAUUUUUAUUAGCCAAAUAUAUAAUUCUCGAAUGCUUAGAAUUCAUUUCUUAAUGAUUUCACUGUUGUGCAGUAUAGACUGUGAAUUGCCUACUAAGGAUACAGUUAAUUAUAGUAAACUGUGGAAUCUAGAUUAAAUAAUUACACCCUACUUUUUUUCUUGGCUUGUGGAUGUGUAGACUACAUAGUGGUUUUUUCAACCCAGGAACAUAACAGUAUAAUGGAGGAUAGGAAGGCAGAAGAUGUUUAAAGGGUUGAGAAAUAAUGGUAUAUGUAUAAUGGUCAGUAAGCAGAACAAGCCAGCCAAGUUGGAUAUUCUUCAAGACUAUCUUAAGUGUCUGCUAUGUGUCUAAGUGAAAGGAAAUAAGCAAUAGUCCUUUUGGGAAACCUGACCUAGUACUUAGCUAUUUCAGACUUAAUGUGAUGUUUGAUAGAGUAGGAAAUAAGAUCUUAAAUUAGAAUUAGGUUAAAUUGCUUUAGAGAAACUUAUUUAUAAAUGUAAAGAAUUUAUUAUCUCAUGUGUUGCACAUGCUCUAUCGAAGGGAGCAAAAUACUAUUGGAGAGUUUGCUUAUUAAUGUAAUACUCAGCCUGCAUCAUUGUCGGAUAAUUUUGUUGAUAAUUCAACUAUUUGAGAUUGAAAGAAAUCUGUUAAAGUAGCCAGUGUUGUAAUUUUGAUCUGUGUUUGAUUACAGCGUAUGAAACAAAAAUGAGACUGGAGGAAAUAGUUUACUUGUGAACUUUUUGAGCUACUUUGUUUUAGGAGUAUUUAAAUUAAUGUAAAAGUGUAGGGAAAUGUCUUAGCUCAGAAAAUUUAAACUUACUAGAUAUUAAGUGCUUAAAAGGUAGAGUAUGCUUGCAUUUCAACUAAAGUUUAGAGUGUUUUAGGAAAUUAGAGGCUAUUUUAAAAAAUAUUUUGAAGUUAGGAGUGUGUUCCUAAGUGUUUUCACCAUAAGAAAAUAAGUCUGUGGGGAUAGUACAUAUGUUAAUUAACUUGAUUUAGCUAUAAUAUAAACCUAUUUUAUGUACACCAUAAAAAUAACAAUUUUUAUGUCAAUUUGAAACAAAUUCAUUACAAAAAUGAAAUUAGGAAUGUGAAUGUUAAUAAGUUAUGAAAACUUACUUGAUGUAAAUGUAGAUAUAGACAAGUCUAUAACUAAUAGAUUUGCCUGCUUUGUAGCAUGCUUUAAAUUGAUAAUAUUUUUAACUAUCACAAGUAUAUCUGGAAAGGUAAAAUUCCUGUUAGGAUAGUUUGUCAAAUUAAUUUAUUAAGUACAGUUGCCAUUUGUUGAGUUAAUUUCUCAGUCAUUCAAUAUCUUUGCAUGUAUCCCAGUCCUGACAGCAACCCCAUGAGGUGUGGCUGUUACAGUUCCCCCAAAUGGCGAUGAGAGAACACAGCCACUAAGUAGCUGCUUGGCUGCUUGACCCUGAAACCAUUGCCCUUAACCAUUUUCCUGUACUGGUAUGCUGAGCUGAAUGAAAUGAAGAUACAUUUUGUGUAAGUUGAAUUUUGACUUUUAGUUGCCAUAAAUUAAUUAAAUAAUUUAUUAUUGUAUAUAUUUUUUUGAGACAGUUUUGCUCUUCUUGCCCAGGCUGGAGUGUAAUGGUGCGAUCUUGGUCUACUGCAACCUCUGCCUCCUGGGUUCAAGCGAUUCUCCUACCUCAGCCUCCUGAGUAGCUGGGAUUACAGGUGCCUACCACCAUGCCUGGCAAAUUUUUGUAUUUUUAGUAGAGAUGGGUUUUCACCAUGUUGGCCAGGCUGGUCCCAAACUCCUGACCUCAGGUGAUCCACUCGCCUGGGCCUCUCAAAGUGCUGGGAUUAUAGGUGUGAGCCACUGUGCCUGGCCAGUUGCCGUAAUAUAUAUAUAUUUUUUUUGAGACCGCAUCUUGCUCUGUUGCCCAGGCUGGAGUGCGGUGGCAUGAUCUCGGCUCCAUGCAACCUCCACCUUCCAGGUUCAAGCGAUUCUUCUGCCUCAGCCUCCCGAGUAGCUAGGACUACAGGCGCAUGCCACCAUGCCUGGCUGAUUUUUUUAUUUUUAGUAGAGAGGGGGUUUCACCAUAUUGGCCAGGCUGGUUUCGAACUCCUGACCUCAUGAUUUGCCCUCCUGGGCCUCCCAAAGUGCUGGGAUUACAGGCAUGAGCCACUGUGCCUGGCCAUUUGCCAUAACUUUUAAUGAGAGGGUAGUUCCAGCUACAGAUUGAGGUAGUAUGUGAAUAAGGAUAGAAAGUGGAUAUAAAAGUAUUUUUGUUACUUUUUAAGAAAGAAUUAUCAGAAGGCUCAAAUUCUGAUAAUUUUAGCUAAUAGUAUUCUACCUAAGAAGUAAACAAAGGCCCAGAAAUUAGAUGAUAUGUCCAAGGACAUAGUAAAUGGGGAGCCAGCAUUAACUGUAGACAGAAAAACUUCAAGUCCUAAAUGUAUACUAGCUAUCAACCCACUCUUUCCCAGUACGCAAGCAUUACAUAGUUGUGAUUAGUUAGUUAGGGCUUUUAAUUAACUUCCAAAUGAAUAUUUCCAUGGGUUCUUGUAAUCCAUAAAUUCAUGGAUUAUGUUCAGUGUUUAUGAGAGCUGGCCCUAACUGAACAUUGCUCGGCUGUUUGGUUUUAGUUUCCACCAUUUGCUGUAAUCAGUGUUUUCUAAACUGCAGGCUGGGAACCAUUAGAUUAUAAAAUCAGUUCAUGUAUAUAAUAAAAUAACAUAUUAGAGUAAGUAUUGAUUUGUGAACAAUAUUAUUUAUUGGAUUACUUAUAUACAUAUACUUUUCAAAAAAUUGAGGGUCAUGUUAAUAGCACUUGGUAUGUAAAUUACCAGAAUGCUUUCUAGCAAUAUGGUAUUUAUUUACAUAGCUGGAUUGAGAAAGAAUAAUACAAAGUAAGCAUGUGACACCAAGGUUGGAAAAAAAAUGUGUUUUUGAAUGUUUGAUGAGGAUUCAAACAUGUUUUAAAUGAGAAAAUCGGUAGGAGGUUGAGGAUUGUAGUAGAAGUACCAGAUGCUUUUUCUUUUAGCUGUUUUUUUUCGUUGCUGUUGUUUGGUUGGUUUUGGUUUUGGUUUUUUUUUUUUUUUUU